AUGCUGUGAGUCCGAAGGAAUCAUCCCGUUCCCAGCAGACAAGCCUGGAGCCAGCCUGCUCUUCUGGCCAAAGCAUUCCACCCCCUGGACCUCUUCUCCAGGCACUUUCUGCCCAGAUAGGCAGUGGAAGAAGAGAUGUGGAUUCUGACCCUUGGCUCCCCAAAGUUCCACAGAGCCCAGCUCCCACUGAAGGCAUAGGACCCAGACCCUAAGAACCAGAUACACUGGCCUAAGCUUUCGUCAGAAGCAGGGACACACAGAACCUGUCUUAAAGCCAUCAUUAGAGGACUGGACAUGAUGGCCAGAGGCCUCAUGGACAGAAGUCCCAGGGCCAUGUCCAGGAACUGGGCUCAGGGGAUCUCCUGGUGCCACCUGCAAAUCUGAGCCCAUGGAGUUCCUUUGGUUUAUUCAAUUCUUUCAUUUUAACUUAAUUUUGUUUUUGUUGGCUUUCUUAAAAAAUUGCCCUGUUUGUUAACGUGAUCACAUUUAUUAUGCAGAGUUGAGUGUGGUUCUCUCAUAAGUAUUUAGUCUCCACUGGGUCUGUGGUUAUAUAUCCUUUCUUAUUGCUAAUGCUGUUUGUGUUUGAUUUUCUUCUUUAUUUCUUGGCCUGACUUACAGAGGUUUGUCUGUUUUAUCUUUAUUUUAAAAAUAACCAACUGCUUAUUUUUACUUCUCCACUGUGAUUUCCCCCUUUAUUUCUUUAAUGUUUAAGUUUAUAUUUUUUCCUAUUUAUUUUGGCUUAAAUUUUAUUAUUAUUUUGCUAUAUCCUUGGGUCAAGUGCUUAAUUCAAUUAUUUUGUUAUUUUGACUUCUAAAAAAUCAGUUAAUUCUAUAAGUUUUCCUCCAUGUACCACAUUGAGCAAACUCCACAGGUUUCUGUAGGGGGUAUACGAAUUGUAAUUCAAUUUCAAUUUUGUUUUCCAUGUGUAGGUCCAGAUUUAUUUGAAUGUCCAAAUGCUUAGAGUUGUUGGCUCUUAUUUUGUUAUUAAAGUCUGGUUUUAUUAUACUGUGGUUAGAGAAAAUAAUAUGAAGGAUUUUAAUUUUAGGUAAAGCAUUAAUAUCUUUUUUAGCCUCAAACAUGAUCAAUUUUUGACAGUGUUCCAAAGAUAUACAAUUAAAUAUAUAUUA